UUGACCUCGGAUCAGGUGAGGAU
rnacentral:rRNA from 2 species